AGAUCUGCGGAACGCUCGUGCGCACUGCAAACACUCUAGACACGCGUGAUGUCAACGUGAAACUUCAGUUUAAAAAGUGCAGCUGGAGCUGAAGUGGGACAGAGAGACACAUCGGAGACACGGCAGCAUGGACGGAAACGGGGGCGAGCACGAGAACGUGGACGUGCACGCGGGGAAAGGAGACCUCCAGCACAGUGUGUUUGUUAACAAGAGUGUGGCUCUGGAGAAAAUAAAGUGCUAUGGCUUCGACAUGGACUACACUCUUGCUGUAUACAAAUCUCCUGAAUAUGAAGACCUGGGGUUUGAGAUGCUGAGAGACAGACUGGUGUCCAUUGGCUACCCACACGAGCUGCUGCGCUACACGUACGACCCCACGUUCCCCACACGAGGUUUGGUGUAUGACACGACCUACGGGAAUCUGCUAAAGGUGGACUCGCAUGGAAACGUCCUAGUGUGCACACACGGCUUUGUUUACCUGAAAGGAGUGGAGAUUCAGCAGUACUACCCCAAUGGAUUCAUCCAGAGAGACGACAUAGCGCGAUUCUACAUCCUCAACACGCUCUUUAACCUCUCAGAGACGUACCUGUACGCGUGCCUCGUGGACUUCUUUACCAACUCCACCCGAUACCAGACCCACCAGCAGGGAUUUAAGCAUGGUGACCUUUUCAUGUCAUUCAAAAGUAUGUUUCAGGACGUUCGAGACGCAAUGAAUUACAUACACGAUACGGGCUCUCUGAAGGAGAGGACGCUGCUGAAUCUGGAGAAAUAUGUGAUCAGGGAUCCUCGAAUUCCCGUGAUGCUGACCCGCAUAAAAGAGGUUGCGAAGGUGUUCCUGGCCACCAACAGUGAUUAUAACUACACCGAGGCCAUCAUGAAGUACAUGUUAGAUUUUCCACCUGAUUCAAAGUACCCAGAAAAGUCAUGGCGGUCGUUUUUUGACCUGGUGGUAGUGGACACACGGAAGCCGCUGUUUUUUGCUGGGGGGACGGUGCUGAGACAGGUGGACACGAACUCCGGAAAGCUGAAGAUAGGAACGUACACGGGAGACCUGCAGCACGACACUGUCUACUCUGGAGGUUCCUCAGAUAUCAUCUGUGACUUGCUGGACGUGAAGGGGAAAGAGAUCCUCUACGUGGGAGACCACAUAUUUGGGGACAUUCUGAAGUCUAAGAAGCGUCAGGGUUGGAAAACCUUCCUGGUGAUACCUGAGCUGAUCAAGGAGCUCCAGGUGUGGACGGACAGGCAUGAAAUGUUCGAGGAGCUGAGGCAGCUUGAUAUUUACCUCGCCGAGCUACACAAGGAUUCGGCCUUCGGAGGUGGAUCAGAUGUUAAUCUCAUCCAGAGCAAGGUUAAGAUGGUGACUUACGGGAUGGAGCUGUGUUAUGGAAAGAUGGGAAGUCUGCUACGCAGUGGCUCCACAAAAACCCUGUUUGCCAGUCAGCUUCUGAGAUACGCCGAUCUGUACGCUGCGUCCUGCAUCAACCUGCUGUACUAUCCACUCAGCUACCUGUUCAGAGCGCCCUUCGUAGUGAGAACUGAACAGAAUACGAUGCCCCAUGAGUCGGCUGCGGACCCUCACACCAGAGACCUGUCUGUCCCGGAUCUCUCAGCCAUCCUCCGAAACACAUCCAUCAAGAGGCGGUGUCAGUGUGACGGUGAGAACUGUGGGCUGGAGAACUGCGAACAGAACAGGAGAACGCAGCCAUAACUGUGGAGAUGUGAGCGUCUGAAUGCCUCAGUACAUGGGGCGGCUGUGGAUCAGGUGGUAGAGCGGGUUGUCCACUAAUCGUAGGGUUGGCGGUUCGAUUCCCGGCCCACGUGACUCCACAUACCGAAGUGUCCUUGGGUGAGACUCUGAACCCCAAGUCGCUCCUGAUGGCAAGUUAGCGCCUUACAUGGCAGCUCUGCUACCAUUGGUGUGUGUGUGUGUGUGUGAAUGGGUGAAUGAGACACAGUGUAAAGUGCUUUGUAGAACCGCUGAGGUUAAAAAAAAAAAAAGCGCUAUAUAAGUGCUGACCAUUUACCAGUACAUAACUUGACGCCACAUUAUAUUACAGAUCUCAUAAGCCUUUAUAUUUCAUCUAGGUCUUCGAGGUCUACAAAUCAAAUGUUGGUGUCCCUCGGUCUGAGCAUAAGUCAAAGGGUGAUGGGGCGUUCUACCGUGUCAUUCUACCGUGUUUUUCGACUUCCUGAGCAAAACUACAGGAAAAGCGUCACAGCCCUGCUAUACUAAACUUCCUGCAGGUGGUCAGCUGAACGCGGCCGGAGGUUAAAUGCUAUGACAAUACUAUUGCACUGCUAGAAUGGAUGGUACAGUAGUGCAACAUCGUCAGAGCAGCUGACCUCAGCACAUCAGCACGUGCGCGUGGAUGGAGGACGGCCAUCUUCCCGGGCACAGUUCCCAAUUUUCUCCUGUGACUACAGGUCUCCCCCCCCCCAAACAGAUACUUGAUUCAGCACAUAAGUAUGUACACACACGAACAAAACCCAAGAAAAUCUCACACGAGUCAAGAGAAUCAGCAUAAAGAAUAAAAUUUUAAUCUUAAUACAUGCUGUGUUUUUGUGUGUGUGUUUGGGGGGGGUGGCUGGGACACCACCACCAACAUCUACCAUCACGACAACUAGUGACUGUAACUGAUCUUGUUAUUCCAAUAUUUAAAAAAAAACAAAACAAACAAAGCCUAUUCUUUCAGUUUCCUUUAAAUAUCAGUAAGUAGAGUCUGCUUUUUAAAACAACUUUAUACUCGCAGCUUUUCAACACUGCAUUAUGAUGGGAAAAAAAAACAAAAAAAAGGUAGCGGUUCUUCGGCAUAAACGUCGAUCUAAAUUUAGAUUAAACUCCGGUAAACUUUGAGGAGCUUUCGUGUUUUUCACGCAAGUACAGCGUUGGAUAUUCCAAUCACGACAUAUAAACGAACACAAGCGAAUAAACGAACGAACGGAGCUGCAAUCGAUCGAUCUGGUAUGGAAGCUUCUCCUUUUGUGUCUUGUCCGCUUUCCAGAUUACAGAUUAAGACUGCAGAUAAAUUAAGAUUAAGUUUAAACUCCAGUAAACUUUCACAGCACUUUCACAUCCUCGUUUCAGUCUCCAAUAGAAAGAAAGAAAGAAAGAAAGAAAAAAAUGCUGUGGUGUGUUUCUAAUAAAAAAUAAAUAAAUAAAAAGCAAAUUCAAUAAAACAAAAGCUUAUACGGUUAAUACAGCGUGUCCAGAAGGUUAGGAAUAUUGUCACCGAUUUGCUAUAAAUGUUUUUCUCUUUAGUAUUUAGUCCACUUUAAAGUUUACAGAUUAUAGAUUAUGCGAGUUAAGAUUACAUUUUUGCACUUUUCACCCAAACAAGCCCUCGGUAUUCAAAUUCUGGAAAAGAAAUGAAUAAAUAAACGAAUCAAAAGCUGAGGCAUGCUGCAAUCCAUUACAGGAGCGUUUUCUUUUGGGUCCAGUUUAUAGAUUGUAGAUUAUAAAUGAAAUUAAGAUUAAACGUCGAGGAGUUUCGCGCUUUUCACCCAAGCAAGCGUUUACUAUUCAAAUACAGAACAAAUAAAUAGGUUAAAUAACCAGUUUAAAUUCUUUGGUACACUAAUCAUUUUGGUAUAAAAGCUUUUCCUUUGAAGCCACGUCCACUUCGAAUUACAGAUUACGAACGGAUUAAAAGUUCAAACUUUUAAAACUCCAGUAAACUUUAAUCAAGCACUCGGCAUUAAAACGGAGAA